GCAGUGAAAUAAUUUCAAAAAGGCCGACUGUUCUUCAAAUGGUUCGAAAUGGAAGAUUUAUUCGUUUAACGAAGAAACGAGUCAAAUUACUCAAAUGUCUAUUGACCCAUUCCAAUCCCUAGCAACGUUAACCUGCAGAAGGAAAGGCCAGUUUACAUGUCCUUCACACUCGAAGGUCACAGAGAUUAUUAUGUAAAAGACCCAUCCCCAGCAAAGUCAACCUGCAAAAGGAAGGGAGCGUCCGCAUGUCCUUCACACUAGUAGGUCACGGAGAUCAUUACGAAAAACGUGUAGAGACCCACCCCCAGCAACCUGCAGAAGGAAAGGCCAGUAACACACUCGAAGGUCACGGAGAUCUUUACGUAAAACGUGUCAUGCAGUGGUGUAGAGGUUGGGUGAGAACGACACGUGUAGCAUCAUUAUCAAGCAGGUAGAACACCCGCAAGGCUUUAGAGGUAAGGGUGAGAAAAAAAAUCGUAUAAAAGGAGAGAGAAAAGGCGAAGGAAAGUCAGUCGAGUGAGCAUCUCCGACACGUCAACAACUGCAGCGCACUCACCAUCUGCCUUCUUCACCGUAUUCCCAGUUCGCAAUCAUGGUGAUGCUGAUGUCAAUUACUGUCAACUAAGGUGUCGUAUGCUGUUGGGUGUUGUAUCGUUGACGACUGGGUCGACCACUGGUGUACCGAUGUCUCCUGGUUAUGGCGGAACCGCAACACCGACGCCUUACUACACAACAACAACAUACGCAACAAUCGAUUCCUACACCACCAAGGCUCAAGAGUGUUACACCACAAUUCAUGAUGCCCCGAGCUGCUACACCGAAUCCCGAAGUAUAACUCUGCCCCGAGUUACAUCACCAGAGAGCCGUAUUACUACACCGAGGUUCCCAAGUACUACAUCACUGAGGCAGCGGAAUACUACACGUAUAUGCAUGCUACCCCUGACUACUACACCGAGGCAUACAACACCGAAGAGCUCAAGUACUACACUACAAGCUACGCUGCCCCGAGCUACUACACCGACGUCCCGAAGUAAAAGGAGUCGUCUAAAAAAAA